rnacentral:misc_RNA from 1 species
GAAAUGCGAUAAGUAAUGUGAAUUGCAGAAUUCAGUGAAUCAUCGAAUCUUUGAACGCACAUUGCGCCCGCCAGCACUCUGGCGGGUAUGCCUGUUCGAGCGUCAUUUCAACCCUCAGAACCCCUUGCGGGAUCUGGCGUUGGGGAUUGGCAUCCAGCCAGCCCCGAAAUCUAGUGGCGGUCCCUCCGCGACCUCCCCUGUGCAGUAGCGAUACCUCGCAGCGGGACAGCGGUCUGACCACGCCGUAAAACCCCCAACUUCUCAAGGUUGACCUCGAAUCAGGUAGGAAUACCCACUGAACUUAAGC